UAAAAGAAAAAUCCUCCAUUUUGGACAAAAAUCUUCAAGCCAUGGGUUGAAUCUCUAGUUUUUCCUCCGAUUAACAGGCAUUACAUGAGCUUCUAUCAUUUUCAAACAUCCAAAUCAGUUUCUAAUUAGUAAUGAAACUACAAAAUCUCUCCCUAAAAAUAUACAUAUAUACCUAUGUGUAUAUAUGCCUUUUUAACUUCAUAUCUUUCUUGUUCUAGCUAUUGGAGUAUUAUGAAAUAAUUUUUGGAGUAGAGAUCAAGGAGAUACAUAUUAACCCCAAUUUUGGAAAAACCCUAGCUUGAUUAAGGUCCGACGAAUCUUUGACGACACCAUUGUGAGGAAGAGGAAGUAUACUAGUGAUGGAGUAAGCAUAUCACAGGUUGAGAGGGAAUGGAAAGCAGGUGUGUUGUGCAGCGGAGUUUUCUUUUUGCCAGAUUCUACAAAUGCUAUAAAAUAUGUAAAAGGCCUCAUAUAUGUACCUCUUUUGUUGAACAUGUCCGUCGCACGUCUUUUGGGCUAUAAACUUAUUAUGAUUUGCUUAGCAAUUGAACCCAAAUAUAGUUUGGGAGAAUAGUUGUAUUUUAGUCUUGUUUCCGCUAGUGCCCAUGGGAUGUAAAUUAAUCUACCUAAAUUGUGUGA